AGUCGUUCCACAUAUGGAGUAUUAUUCCCUAAAGGUGAAGCUAGACAUCCUAAAUGGACAAAAACAACUUUAGUUUGGUAAAUAUUUUUUAAAUAACAAUAUUUUGGUACAUAAAUAAUUUUCUUACAAUAUUUAAAAAAAAAAAAGUCCUUAAUUUAGGGGAAGUGCUUCUCUUUCAAUUCUGAUUUUCUGUAUUGUUGGCUGCUAUUCAAGUGUUGUGUUCCCAUUUCUACCCUUUCCAGUGCUGUUCACAACACACACUCUUCCAUUUUCGGCAGCAGUGGCUUCGUUUCCGGUGAUGCCAUCAAUCAAGUUGAAUGAGAUUUUCUUCUUAGCGCUUCAGGUUGCCAACACCCCCGUCGUCAAGGGUUCUACUUGGGCGGACUGGCAGUAAUUGAUGUGCGAUUUCUGCAUCGAAAACCAACAUUUAAGCAAAAACCACAACAAAUCCAGCUGUGGCACCCAUGAUAAUGGCAUUCUAGGAAAAUGCUGUGUGGGAAAGAACUGUAUGCAGAAUCUUUUGUGGCUGAAGGAGAUGAUUCUGAAGAAGCCAACAUUUGCUUGAUGGCUGAUACAAAAUCUGCUUAGAAGUCAGAACACAAGGAUUGUGAAGAGGUAAUCCAUGACUAAUUGUUAUAAUUGUUUGGCCAAGGGUCCAACAAUUAUAUCCCAUACAAGUAGGUUAAGUACAAAGAUAGGAUGUUUCACAUAGAGGUAUUAUUAUGUACUUAACAAAUACAAGAUAGGAUGUUUCACACACAUAUUCAAUGGAAAACAAAGGAUUGCUUAUACA